rnacentral:lncRNA from 1 species
CCCUCACUUUAACUGCUCUUGGAAAUCCAGCUGUUGCCCCAAGUCACGGAGAUCCUGCUUUGUCUCUGUAGGAUCAGCCUCGUCACAUGCUCCAGCAGCUCAGAGAUGGAGAAGAUAUUGAGGUGGGCCAGCUCAAAGCCUCAUAUCAGGACCUGGAUGGUAGCUGCAUUGGUCAGUCUGACAGCUCUCCUGUGCCCACACUCUACCAAGGCCAAAUCGCCUGUAUUGCUCAGACGUUUUGUGAAAAUCAAGUAAAGUAAUUGUGCAAAAUCAUUUGAGGGCAAGAGAGAUGGCUCAGUAGCAUCUGCUGCUCGUGCAGAAGACCCAAGUUCACAACUGUCUAUAACUCCAGCUCCACAGAUCCAUCAUUCUCUUCUGGACUCAAUGAACACAUGCACACACAUGUCACACACACACAUACAUGUAUACAUUAAAUAAAUAUUCAUAUAAGAAUCUAUUUCAAAAUGUAGCUGGUGCUACCCCCAAUAUAUAUCCUAAUUAUUUUUUUCUGAUUAGUUUUGUUCUAAAUGAUUUUAUACUCUGUAAGGAAUUAGAAUUCUACACUUACUCAGGUUGUUAUUCCUUUUUUACUUUUUGUGUGAUUUGAAUUUUUGAUUCUCCAUUAUUAUAAAUAUAAAUUUGAACUCUGUAAUGUAAACAUGUAAAUGUUUUACUCUGACCUAGCAUGUGCUCACUGCAUGUAUCAAUGGAAUUCAUGCUAAUGUUUCCCUGCAUACCUACCGUGUGCACUGAUAAAGCUUAGAAUGUCUCGCUCUUUCUUCGUUGCCAUCCAUCUCAAAUCUAGUAACCAUUAGCUCUUAUUUACAUCACUCUUUGCUCAUAGUUAAGAUUCACUUGGGAGAACUACAUAUGACAUUUGUCUUUCUUUAUCUGUCUUUUUAACUUAAUAAAAUAUUCUCUAGUAAUAGACCCUUUUUCUCCCAAAACAGUAUUUCUUCUGCCUCCUCCUCUCCCUCUUCCUCCUCUUCCUCCUCCUCUUCCUCCUCCUCCUCUUUUUCCUCUUCCUCUUCUUCCUCCUCUUCCUCCUCCUCCUCUUCCUCCUC